rnacentral:rRNA from 3 species
AGACCCGAAACCCGGUGAUCUAGCCAUGGGCAGGUUGAAGGUUGGGUAACACUAACUGGAGGACCGAACCGACUAAUGUUGAAAAAUUAGCGGAUGACCUGUGGCUGGGGGUGAAAGGCCAAUCAAACCGGGAGAUAGCUGGUUCUCCCCGAAAGCUAUUUAGGUAGCGCCUCGUGAAUUCAUCUCCGGGGGUAGAGCACUGUUUCGGCUAGGGGGCCAUCCCGGCUUACCAACCCGAUGCAAACUGCGAAUACCGGAGAAUGUUAUCACGGGAGACACACGGCGGGUGCUAACGUCCGUCGUGAAGAGGGAAACAACCCAGACCGCCAGCUAAGGUCCCAAAGUCAUGGUUAAGUGGGAAACGAUGUGGGAAGGCCCAGACAGCCAGGAUGUUGGCUUAGAAGCAGCCAUCAUUUAAAGAAAGCGUAAUAGCUCACUGGUCGAGUCGGCCUGCGCGGAAGAUGUAACGGGGCUAAACCAUGCACCGAAGCUGCGGCAGCGACACUGUGUGUUGUUGGGUAGGGGAGCGUUCUGUAAGCCUGUGAAGGUGUGUCGUGAGG